GCCAUCUAUCAAUCUCUAUGUUCACCACACACUGGCGCAGCAGCAGAUGUUGGUUGCUUGCGGGCCCGUUUAGAAGCAAAACCCGCUUCCUCAAUCUACACAGCGCAAAACUAGCUGCAAUUUGACUGAACACGGUGAAGGAUAAACUAGGAAAAGCGACCUAACAUUUGACACUCGGUUGGAAAUGUUGGACGGAAAGACUGGCUUUGUCUCUUUCUACCAUGGAUCAGGAGAGUCAGCUAAAGCUAGCUACAGUUCAGCAAAUCUAGAUUUUUAGUUGUUCCUAAUAUAAUGUAUUAUAACUAGAGGAUAUUUCUAAAUAGUGGUAAUAUUGAACUACAGUGAUAAUGAUGACAUGAUCCUAGUUUGAAAGAAAAUGCAUAAAGUUAGCCAGUUAGCUAACUUCAACAGGUAGUGACUGUUUUAUAAACUAAACAACCUGUCUAACUAACGUUACUAGCUAGACUAGGCUAAUAUUAAUGUAAUAUGAAGAUAGUGGCACCCGCUAGGUAAUAGUUGUCGUGUUGGCAAGUUUAGCUUUAGUUAAGAUGAGCUAGUUGUUGAUUUCUGUAAACAGGAAUUCGACCAGAUUUCUUUUUAGGAUGUCAUAUUGCUGAGUACCUAAUGUUGUUGCACUCUCACUCCCUACAUUUUAUAAAAUGUGGCUUGUUGUGAAAACUGRGCUGUAACUCUUCAUCAUAUWGGACUCUGAAGACCCGUCCAGCCRGUCUCCAUCCUGCUCCACUAAACCCCAACCCACGGUGUCCCCGGGUCAUGAAAGUAACCACGGUGACCAGGAGGACAGUAACCAGGGUGACCAGGAGGACAGUAACCACGGAGAGAGUUCCAAUAAGACCUCUGGUAGUGAGUGGAAUCCUUCUACAUCGGAACAGCGGGACAUUCUACCUCGGAACAAGCGGGACAUUUACCUCGGAACAAGCGGGACAUUCUACCUCGGAACAAAAGUGGGACAUUUACCUCGGAACAAGCGGGACAUUCUACCUCGGAACAAGCGGGACAUUCUACAUCGGAACACAACCGGGACAUUCACAUCGGACAAGUGGGACAUUCUACAUCGGACACAACCGGGAACAUUCUACAUCGGACAACCGGGGACAUUCUACAUCGGAACAAACCGGGACAUUCUACAUCGGACAACCGGGGACCAUUCUACAUCGGAACAACCGGGACACUUUACAUCGGAACCACCGGGACAUUCUACAUCGGAACAACCGGGACAUUCCACAUCGGAACAACCGGGACAUCCACAUCGAACAACCGGGACAUCACAUCGGAACACCGGACAUUCACAUUGGAAC
rnacentral:lncRNA from 1 species